GACAGAGGAUGCAAGCGUUAUCCGGAAUGAUUGGGCGUAAAGCGUCUGUAGGUGGCUUUUUAAGUCCGCCGUCAAAUCCCAGGGCUCAACCCUGGACAGGCGGUGGAAACUACCAAGCUGGAGUACGGUAGGGGCAGAGGGAAUUUCCGGUGGAGCGUGAAAUGCGUAGAGAUCGGAAAGAACACCAAAGGCGAAAGCGCUCUGCUGGGCCGAAACUCGACACUGAGAGACGAAAGCUAGGGGAGCGAAUGGG
rnacentral:rRNA from 1 species